rnacentral:rRNA from 1 species
GACGAACGCUGGCGGCGUGCUUAACACAUGCCAGUCGAACGGAAAGGCCCUGCUUUUGUGGGGUGCUCGAGUGGCGAACGGGUGAGUAACACGUGAGUAACCUGCCCUUGACUUUGGGAUAACUUCAGGAAACUGGGGCUAAUACCGGAUAGGAGCUCCUGCUGCAUGGUGGGGGUUGGAAAGUUUCGGCGGUUGGGGAUGGACUCGCGGCUUAUCAGCUUGUUGGUGGGGUAGUGGCUUACCAAGGCUUUGACGGGUAGCCGGACUGAGAGGGUGACCGGCCACAUUAGGACUGAGAAACGGCCCAGACUCCUACGGGAGGCAGCAGUGCAGAAUAUUGCAGAAUGGGCGGAAGCCUGAUGCAGCAACGCCGCGUGCGGGAUGACGGCCUUCGGGUUGUAAACCGCUUUCGCCUGUGACGAAGCGUGAGUGACGGUAAUGGGUAAAGAAGCACCGGCUAACUACGUG